UACGUAGGUGGCAAGCGUUGUCCGGAUUUACUGGGCGUAAAGAGCGCGCAGGCGGUCGUUCAAGUCGCGUGUGAAAGCCCCGGCUCAACUGGGGAGGGUCACGCGAUACUGAUCGACUCGAAGGCAGGAGAGGGUAGUGGAAUUCCCGGUGUAGUGGUGAAAUGCGUAGAUAUCGGGAGGAACACCAGUGGCGAAGGCGACUACCUGGCCUGUUCUUGACGCUGAGGCGCGAAAGCUAGGGGAGCAAACGGGG
rnacentral:rRNA from 1 species